GGGGGGCGGUGCCUAUACAUGCAAGUCGAGCGAACAGAUGAGAAGCUUGCUUCUCUGAUGUUAGCGGCGGACGGGUGAGUAACACGUGGGUAACCUACCUAUAAGACUGGGAUAACUCCGGGAAACCGGGGCUAAUACCGGAUAAUAUUUUGAACCGCAUGGUUCAAUAGUGAAAGACGGUUUCGGCUGUCACUUAUAGAUGGACCCGCGCCGUAUUAGCUAGUUGGUAAGGUAACGGCUUACCAAGGCGACGAUACGUAGCCGACCUGAGAGGGUGAUCGGCCACACUGGAACUGAGACACGGUCCAGACUCCUACGGGAGGCAGCAGUAGGGAAUCUUCCGCAAUGGGCGAAAGCCUGACGGAGCAACGCCGCGUGAGUGAUGAAGGUCUUCGGAUCGUAAAACUCUGUUGUUAGGGAAGAACAAAUUUGUUAGUAACUGAACAAGUCUUGACGGUACCUAACCAGAAAGCCACGGCUAACUACGUGCCAGCAGCCGCGGUAAUACGUAGGUGGCAAGCGUUAUCCGGAAUUAUUGGGCGUAAAGCGCGCGUAGGCGGUUUCUUAAGUCUGAUGUGAAAGCCCACGGCUCAACCGUGGAGGGUCAUUGGAAACUGGGAAACUUGAGUGCAGAAGAGGAGAGUGGAAUUCCAUGUGUAGCGGUGAAAUGCGCAGAGAUAUGGAGGAACACCAGUGGCGAAGGCGGCUCUCUGGUCUGUAACUGACGCUGAUGUGCGAAAGCGUGGGGAUCAAACAGGAUUAGAUACCCUGGUAGUCCACGCCGUAAACGAUGAGUGCUA
rnacentral:rRNA from 1 species